AUGAACGCUGGCGGCGUGCUUAACACAUGCAAGUCGAACGGGCUCAUAUUGAAACCUAGUGAUGUAUGAGUUAGUGGCGGACGGGUGAGUAACGCGUGGAGAACCUGCCGUAUACUGGGGGAUAACACUUAGAAAUAGGUGCUAAUACCGCAUAAGCGCACAGCUUCGCAUGAAGCAGUGUGAAAAACUCCGGUGGUAUACGAUGGAUCCGCGUCUGAUUAGCUGGUUGGCGGGGUAACAGCCCACCAAGGCGACGAUCAGUAGCCGGCCUGAGAGGGUGAACGGCCACAUUGGGACUGAGACACAGCCCAAACUCCUACGGGAGGCAGCAGUGGGGAAUAUUGCACAAUGGGGGAAACCCUGAUGCAGCGACGCCGCGUGAGUGAAGAAGUAUUUCGGUAUGUAAAGCUCUAUCAGCAGGGAAGAAAUACUGACCUUACGGUCAGCAGACGGUACCUGACUAAGAAGCCCCGGCUAACUACGUG
rnacentral:rRNA from 1 species